CAGCCGCCGCGGUAAUACGAAGGGGGCUAGCGUUGUUCGGAUUUACUGGGCGUAAAGGGCGCGUAGGCGGACUGAUAAGUCAGGGGUGAAAUCCCAAGGCUCAACCUUGGAACUGCCUUUGAUACUGUUUGUCUUGAGUUCGAGAGAGGUAAGUGGAACUGCGAGUGUAGAGGUGAAAUUCGUAGAUAUUCGCAAGAACACCAGUGGCGAAGGCGGCUUACUGGCUCGAAACUGACGCUGAGGCGCGAAAGCGUGGGGAGCAAACAGGAUUAGAUACCCCUGUAGUCCCUGUCUCUUAUAA
rnacentral:rRNA from 1 species